CACGUAGUUAGCCGGUGCUUCUUCUGUAGGUACCGUCACAAAAGCUUCGUCCCUACUGAAAGCGGUUUACAACCCGAAGGCCGUCAUCCCGCACGCGGCGUCGCUGCAUCAGGCUUCCGCCCAUUGUGCAAUAUUCCCCACUGCUGCCUCCCGUAGGAGUCUGGGCCGUGUCUCAGUCCCAGUGUGGCCGGUCACCCUCUCAGGCCGGCUACCCGUCGUCGCCUUGGUAGGCCAUUACCCCACCAACAAGCUGAUAGGCCGCGAGUCCAUCCUCCACCGAUAAAUCUUUCCACCCCCACCCAUGCAGGCAGGAGUCCUAUCCAGUAUUAGCACCGGUUUCCCGGAGUUAUCCCAGAGUGAAGGGCAGGUUACUCACGUGUUACUCACCCGUUCGCCACUCAUCCACCCAGCAAGCUGGGCUUCAGCGUUCGACUUGCAUGUGUUAAGCACGCCGCCAGCGUUCGUCCUGAGCCAGGAUCAAACUCU
rnacentral:rRNA from 1 species